AAAGAAAAAGAAAAAGAAAGAAAGAAAGAAAGAAAGAAAGAAAGAAAGAAAGAAAGAAAGAAAGAGAAAGAAAGAAAAAGAAAGAAAGAAACUUGCUCCAACAGAUGACUGGCUCACCUCUGAGAAGUAAUCAGGCCUCUCCCGUGGCUGGAUAAAGCCAGGGCAAUUCUUUGGACGUCAAUCAUUUUGAAAGGCGACUUUCUUGCAUGACUUGGUUGGUGAUACUGAUUCUCAAAAGAAAGUACCUGUUGUUUGUCGAAGACUCUUACAGGCUCAGCAAUGG